rnacentral:lncRNA from 1 species
CAGCCCCAGAAACGUCUUUGAUCCUGGACAACCCCAGAGGCCGCAUCAGAGACACAUUGCUGUGCGCCCCCGAGCGGAUCAGGGGCUGGACUUGAGUCUCGCCCACCGCAGGCCAAUCAGCAGCAGCCCGUGGGGCUCCUUUAACAGGUCAGGGAGCCGAGUCUAUGCGAGAGGCAGUUCUGGGACAGAUGAGCAACGUCAAGCAAUUAAAUAAAAGAUCUGAAACAGUUCAGAGGAAAUGAUUCAGCAGCAGAGUGAAGCGGGGAGGCCUUGUGGAUCCUCCUCAAAAUGUUUUUGAGGAAAGUCAGGUGUUUCAGAGAACAUGACAGCAACGGCAGCAGGAGGCUGCUGAGGUGGCAGUGUGCCCCGCGGCUGACCUUGCUCUGGGAGAUCUGACCCAGCCAGGCCGCGGUUCUGGCUCUCUGAGCACCGGCCCUGCAGCGAGCCGGCCGUGCCGCUGCCAUUGUGCGGUGGAUGGGCUCGGUGGGCACAGGUGGACGGUGCAGUCCCUGCGUCCCCACAUGUGCAGAACUGCCUAGACAGCAGUGUCAUUACCCAUGUUCCAACGAGCCGAUUUUAACGGUACUCACUGGCGUAUUCUCUGUUCUAAUCAGCAGCAUUUGGGACCCCAGGAUGCUUGAUGUUUGCUCAAUACACGAAGCUACAGACAUGACUGUGCGUGAACAUCUGACAUCACUAUUAAGCUCUUAGGGUACAGAGAAGAACGUCGCAGAGCACUGCGGAGGGGCUGGAACCCGGGCCCGUGGUGCAUUGGCAGGGCGGGAGGUGCUCACGGUGGGCGGGAGGCCAUGGCCUCUGCCUGGGGCCAGUGAAGCAGGGCAGCGUGUGACGCUCAGCAGCUGUGUUGGCUGUGCCCUCCUCUCAGCAUCCUCUCGUGCUGCACACACACUGUCAGCACCACCCAGCAUGCAACUCGGCUCCUCACGCCUCCUGUGCCUUUCACAGCAUGGCCUCUGCAACAACCAAGGCCUUGUGACAGAGAGAAGGAGCCUGGGAUGUGCUCCCUGUCCUGGAGGUGCCGUCAGUCUAAUGGGGGAGACAAACUUCACAGGACAAAGUAAGAACAGGCUCCAGGCUGAAUGCAGAGGCUUCACAGAGAUGGUUGCGUUUUGUACAGAACUUGGAAGUUGAGAGAAAUGGCCAGAAAGCGCAGGGAAGGAGGUUCCUGCCCCCGGGAGCUGCAUCAGGGGGAUGCACAGGACGAUGCUGCUGUGAGCAGCGGUCCCCAGUCUCAGCGUGCACACCACCAGAGGUUCAACAUCCGCUCUCCCUGCCCACAGAGGACUGGCAGGGGCCUCGCCUCGUGCACACAUUCCAGGACCCACGUCAGUGCUGGAGGGGAGCGGUUCUGGAGGGCUCCAGGUGGCAGUUAAACCAUCUUCUUGAACUGACCCAGGUCAUCUCUGCCCACAGCCUAUCAGCCAGCUAUCCACACAGCCCCACCCGGCCACAGGGCCAGGCAGGGGAGCCCUAGUGACCCUGGAAGACAGAACCGUGGGAAUAUUUGGGGUCCAGCACUGAUUGCCACCUGGGCCAACUCUGGAGCCAACACGGGCAUUUGGGGAAGAGGUGACAGGCCAGAGGGCCAGGUCAGUGCAAUACGGAGGUCGGGGGAGAAAGAAGAUAAAAGGAAAAUUUGCACUCGCCCACCAUUCAGCGAAGGCUUCUGGGUCUAGGCCGGUCCCCCUCUGCUCUCCAGCACCGCCACACAGUGUUCACCCCAGACUCAGUGUCCCUCGGACUGCCAUGUGCUUUGUUCUGCACACUGUGGAUCUGGUAACUGGUCAUGUCUCCUCCUUUGGUUUCGGUGCAGGAAGGUUACCAUACCUGGGACCACUCGGGGCGCAGUUGCACGUCUUCCUGUGAGCUGAUCUUACUUAGGGUGUUAUUAUGUUUUCUACUCCUCAUUUUUCUACGAAACUUCCUCAGUGAUUCAUUUGAUCCUUUCUUAUUGUAUGUAUUUUGAUAAGCAAUUUUAUCUUUUUUCAUUUUGUAACUUUUUUUUUUUGAGGAAGUUUAGCCCUGAGCUAACAUCUGCUGCCAGUCCUCCACUUUUUGCUGAGGAAGACUGGCCCUGAGCUAAUAUCCGUGUCCAGCUUACUCUACUUUAUAUGUGGGACGCCUGCCACAGCAUGGCGUGCCAAGCGGUACCAUAUCUGCACCCAGGAUCUGAACCGGUGAACCUAGGGUCGCUGAAGCAGAACUUGUGAACUUAACCGCUGCGCCACCAGGCCGGGCCCAAUAUAAUAGUUUUUAUAAGUGGUAUUGUCCCAAUUCUCUAUUGCUGAGCCACCAACAACAGUAAACUUUAAUGCAUUGAAACAAUUCUGAUGCUUCUUCCUCAGCACGCAGCCGCCUGGCUGGGUAACGGAUAUGCUGGACUGGAACAUCCACAGUGGUUUCUCCACUGGGCUGGGCGUUCUUUCUCUCCACGCGGCUUCCCCAGCAGGGUAGCUCCAUCUCUUCACAGGAGACUCAGGGCUCCUAGGGACGGUGUUCCAAGAAGACGAGCCUAGCAUGAGCUGUUGUCAAGCCUCCUUGUCCUGCUCACUAACAUCCAUUGGUCAAAGCAUGCACAGGGUCAAGGUCAUUGGGAGGGGACAACACAAGGUGUGAGUACCAGGGCUCAUCCGAGGCCACCAAAAUAAAUACAUGUAUGUUGUAAUCAUAAAUAAUAAUAAAUAUGGAUAUACAGG